rnacentral:rRNA from 1 species
GAUGAACGCUGGCGGCGUGCCUAAUACAUGCAAGUCGAGCGAACGGACGAGAAGCUUGCUUCUCUGAUGUUAGCGGCGGACGGGUGAGUAACACGUGGAUAACCUACCUAUAAGACUGGGAUAACUUCGGGAAACCGGAGCUAAUACCGGAUAAUAUUUUGAACCGCAUGGUUCAAAAGUGAAAGACGGUCUUGCUGUCACUUAUAGAUGGAUCCGCGCUGCAUUAGCUAGUUGGUAAGGUAACGGCUUACCAAGGCAACGAUGCAUAGCCGACCUGAGAGGGUGAUCGGCCACACUGGAACUGAGACACGGUCCAGACUCCUACGGGAGGCAGCAGUAGGGAAUCUUCCGCAAUGGGCGAAAGCCUGACGGAGCAACGCCGCGUGAGUGAUGAAGGUCUUCGGAUCGUAAAACUCUGUUAUUAGGGAAGAACAUAUGUGUAGGUAACUGUGCACAUCUUGACGGUACCUAAUCAGAAAGCCACGGCUAACUACGUGC